AAACAUUAAGCAUAACUCAUGCGUACCGAUUUCGACUCGGUAAGAGCCUUGGCAAUGUUUU
rnacentral:tRNA from 1 species